UACUUACUCCUACGGGAGGCAGCAGUGAGGAAUAUUGGUCAAUGGGCGCAAGCCUGAACCAGCCAUCCCGCGUGCAGGAAGACGGCGCUAUGCGUUGUAAACUGCUUUUCCAGGGAGAGAAACUUGCGCACGUGUUGCGCAAUGAC
rnacentral:rRNA from 1 species